rnacentral:rRNA from 1 species
UACGGAGGGUGCGAGCGUUGUCCGGAAUCACUGGGCGUAAAGGGCGCGUAGGUGGCUUCUCAAGCGCGCGGUGAAAGCCCGGGGCUCAACCCCGGGUCGGCCGUGCGGACUGGGAGCUCGAGCACUGUAGGGGCGGGUGGAAUUCCUGGUGUAGCGGUGAAAUGCGUAGAUAUCAGGAGGAACACCGGUGGCGAAGGCGGGUCUCUGGGCCGAUACUGACGCUGAGGAGCGAAAGCGUGGGGAGCGAACAGG